AGGCACUCCUCCCCAUGCAGAAUGCUCAAAGGGGAGGACCAUUGGCAAAUUGCCAAAAGAAAAAAAAAAAAAAGCCUUAGGAUGGUUGGCAUGGAAUGGGACCGUUAAUCCCUGCCCUUGCACAGACAAACCUCAUGCAGGCCUUGCAUUUAAGACAUCUCCACCCUCCUGUCUCUGUUUGCAGCUGCCUUCCAGCUUGCAGGACUGAUGCGGUGCAGCAGGCUGCCCUCCAGACCCACCACGACCAACCUCACUCUGCCCAGCUGACCACCCAGGAAUGACUGAAAGAACAGAAACACCGGACUGCUGACCUGCCCAGAGAAAUGACCACCCUUGGCUCAUCUCUAGCAAUCACUCGGAGAUCUCAAGACACUUCACAAUAAGGCUUGGCACACACGCUGACCUGGACCCCAUUGAUAGGGCCAUGCCCUUGAAAGCUACACCACGUGUCAAGGUGCACUCCACCACGGUACGUAAGAUGAAGCUGGAAUGUCUUCCCAUCACAGAGGGCACAUUCUGGCACCACACCGUCGUCAGACAGCUUCUGAACGUAAGUAGAAAUUCCCUGUGCGGGGGCAUUCAUCUGAACACUGACCUACUGGGAUAGUCCUACGGAAGUCAGUGCACGGUGAGGCUGGUUGAAUUCAUAAAUAUUUAAUCUUUCAAAUGAAAAGGAUCUCGUUGCAGUGGCAGCAGAAUUGGGAGGUAAAAAGAAGUAGGCUGCUUCGAGAAAGCACGAUGGGUAGUUCUGCAGAUGAACGUGCUCCUGAUCUCUUGUAUCCGUUAGAAGUGAUGCUAUUGGAUGCCAAGCGUUUAUUUCAGUGCAGCACUAGAAAGAACUCAAAAUCAGUCCUUCUAGCCUAAAACUAUAUCACAGGGCAACAACAAGAGGGAAAACUCUAAGCAGAUCUGGCUAUCUUGAUGCCAUUUCAUUCCCUACCCUUCCAGCAACCGCUUCUUUGUGUGUAUCAUUAGACAUUUAUUCCAUGGUAUGUGUGUUCCCCUUGGCCCAGCACUGCAAGAAAAGUCUAGGGAAUUCAGUAACCCAAGCCGAAAGAUCAAUUUAAUCAUGUUUCAGAUUGAAAAGGCAGAACAAGGUCAAAGUUACUUUCUAUUUUCAUUAGGAUAUUUGCACUUAAGCACAAAACUACUGACAAAUUUCCUACAAAGACUUUACUUGAAGAAAUAGAAGCCAAUUCCUGCUGCACUGCAAGUAAAAUAAAAAUAUAUUAAAAAGGCCCUAAAUGGUGUUGAACUUGUGGUAUUUAUGACUCUGGUCCUAAAUUGCCUUUCAUAUUUUCUUGGAUCCCAAAGCCGUAGCCAAAUUGGCUGGUUAAAUGUGAAUAAAUGGUGCAUUGUCUUUGAAACAAAGUCGUGCUUAUUAAAGAGAAAAGAGUUUACUUUUUCAGAAUCAGUUAAUGACACAAAGCAGGGAGAGCAUGGAUUUUACACACACACAGAAGUCUUCGAUAAGGGCAUGCAAUCUCAUUUUGGUCUGGAUGAGAAGAGCUAUCCUAGAGCAGAAAAAUUCUUCAACAUAUUUGCGAAGCUGGAGCAAAAUAGCUGACUGCAAAAGAACGCAACUGGGUUCAGACCGGUGGUUUUGAUAGGUCUGCAGCAAUGGUAGGAAAUCCUUCCCCCAGAUCUGGAAUGUUGUUUUGUUCACCUGACAGCAAUUUAUUCUAACUGUACAUACUAGAAUUUUGGCCAUUAGUAACUGAGCUUACAUAUGGUUCUGUAGUUACUAUAGCACAACGAGUGGUGACCGCAUUCCUGGUUUUGUCACGUUCGUAAGCAAAACAAACACUAACAUAAUCAGCAAUUAAAAAAGCAUGAGUUGGUGUGCAAAUAGCUGCAAUUAUUGAUUUGCCAAUUCUGCAUGCUCGGAUGAACAGCCGAGUAGUGGAGUUAAACAGAAGCACAUUCAUGGAUUGCAUAACUGCUCAUAGAUCUGCAAGUCCUUGUUAAAUGGUAAGGUUAAAGCUAAUUAGACACUGAAAUGUAGAAGUACAAAGCAAGCAAUGCUGUCUGUAUUUUUCCUGUUUUCUUAAUAGCAGCUGCAAGUACAGUAUUUGCAGGCUGGAAGUGAGAAGUGAAAAAUCUCUGUGCAGUCAAGUAGAGCAAAAACUCCUGCCUGGUUCUUUAUUUUGCAAUAUACCAAACAGAUUCAGAGAGCACCAUCCUGCACCACUCCAAAUAAUGCAGUCAAAUUGGCUUCACUGUUAGUACCUAUGCGAUCUUCUGUACCUACUAAGGGCACAUAAAUAUCCACAGUAUAUGAAACCCCUACCCUAACAGCUGGGGCCCAAGGGUACCCAUGCUGUUGUGAUAUAAAAAUCAGAAACAUCUACAGUUUUGAGUUCCUCUGUAAUGUUAAAAGUACUAAUUUGUGAUCAAAAUAAGAAAAGUAACUUGAAAAUGUAGUUUUGCUUUACACGGAUCACCAGAAUAACUUCUUUUUCCUCUAGGAGCACUACAACUCUCAAUCCAAGCAGCUCAAGAGGUAGAUUUUUCUUUUCUUACGAUCUUUCAUUUUCAGUAUCUAAGGGCUUUCUUGAGAGGAGUGGUGGCUGACUGUCACAAUUACUGGAAUGGAGGCUGUUAUAUCCCCAUCAUGGAGCUUUGCAGACACCUCCACCCCAGCUGUUUUCUGGUCCAGCAAAUCUUCAUUCAUCAUCCUCCCACAUUUUAUUUUACAAAUGCACAGCAACAGCCUGAUCCUGCCAAAUCAGAGGCAUGUGAGCAACUCUUUGAACAUAAGCCGUCCCAUUAAGACGGCACACACGCCCAGGCAACAGCAGGUAAGGCUGUGAAGUUGGAUCCGCAGUCAGUGGUUGUUAGAGGAUUUGGGAUUUUAUUUUCAUAAUUAAUCUCUCACACCCUACCCACUGUACUCUGUUGAGAUGGAGUCAUUGUUCUUGGGGAUGGUUUUGGCAUGCUUGAGAGUAAAAAGCAGUUUUCAAUAAGCUGAAAUAGCCUAAGAACUUGAGGAAGAAAAGAAGGGUAUGCUAAGUUAUUGCAAAGUGUCUCUACUGGGAAGAAGUCUCUGAAUUGUCACUAAUCCAUUGGCAGAUAAGUUUUCCCCAUGGAAAGAUUAGUGUUGCAGUUUUUAUUCUGCAUAGCAGUCAAUUAACUGCAUUGACUCCAUCUACAAAAGCCUUUUAUAUGUUAGGAAAAAAAAUCUGAAAGAUCCCCGGGGAUGAACUUUCAUCGUCCUUUAAAAACUUCCCCCACCAUCACUUAUGCUCUAAACUUUGUGUUUUAGAGAGGCUUUCUAUGGCUAAGGGACAGAAAUAAAUAAAAUAAACCUGAAUAAUAGUCACAAACCUACACAAAUCCUACCCUGCAGUCAGCUGCUUGCCAGGCACCGUGUCAGGCUAACCAGAACCUAUGGUCCUGCGUGACAAACCACCAAACCAACCCUGCCCCAUGCACACCCCAAAACCCAGCUCCACCACGGGGCAGGGACCCGCAGCCUUCCCCAGCCCAUGUCCCCACACCAACUCCCGGGACAGGCGCCUGUACCCUGUCCUAACAAACUGUUCACGCCUGUACCCUGUCCUAACAAACCCUUCCCUCUCUCUUUUUUCAGCGGGGGCUCCAGCAGACGUGGCUGCACGGCCAGGCCCGGAGGAAUGCGGGAUGCAGGCGCGCAGCCGGGAGCCGAUGCUGGAGGCAGCCUGCACGUACCGGGCAGCGCGGUGCCAGCACGCUGCGUGCUGAAGGAAGGCGGCGAAGACCUGGCUUUACUCUCCGAGUCCAGACUGUGAGAAAUCUGGGGCAGGCCCACUCAAAGGUCUCAGCCUGGUGGAGCUUUAUUUGCAGCAGGUAGGUUUCCCUGGGAAGCUGCUGACAUCCAGCUGGUCACCUCCUCUUGACGCCCAGCACAGAGCAGAACAGACUGUGGCUGUUUGUGCUACACUAGUAGCAAUAUUAAUGAACACAAUGUUUGUUAUGGCAGCUGAUGAAAGCGUGAGGCAUCUGGUAUGGCACCUGGUGUUGAAGACUUGCAUGACCAAGCCCUGAAGACAACAAAGUCUUUGGAGAUAGGUUUGGUUCCAAAAGAUCCUUCACUCCACUAUCCUGAGGGAUCAGGUCACACUUAAUGGUGGUAGGUGACCUUGCUAGCUAAUAAAGCUGGAUUUGUUUAGGCUUAUUCUGCACAAGUCAAAAGGAAAGGCCAAGGAUGCCCAAAUCCAGCCUUCACUGACAUGAGGGGCCCUACUCAGAGACUCAGAGAGACUGAAGUGAUUUGUAUGCACUGAGCUGUGUAGAAGAAUGUCACUGAUUUAUAAAUGUCAAACAGGCUCCAAGCAGCCCACACACGAACCUCAGUGAAUUCUUACCUCUGACCCACUCAUUGGCUCCAGCAGCCGCACAGGCUGAUUUAGAGCCCCUUACUGUAAGAGCUUUAACAUCUCACACAGGCUGUGGCUGAUCCGAAUAUGUCAAAGGGGACUGAAGGUCAAAAUUUCCAUAAAUUAGGCCUUGGAUUGUUACCUAUCACAUAAUAGGAUUCUCUGGCUGUGAACUACAGACAUUCAGCACAGCAGUUCCCCUGCAGCCCUGUUCCCCAGCCCCUCUCCUGAACUGGUGAGGCUGUAUGUCCAAGGAGAAGGAGCGUCUUCAAAGCUGCUUUCCUCCAAGGAAAAAAAAACAGAGCAGGACAAAGGACUGGGACUCUAGGCAAGGAACAUGACCCCAGGCCCAGUCCUGAAAUGGGUGAGUGUUUCCACAUGAAGAAAUUUCUGAGCUUUUUGAGGAGCUGCAGGGGCUCGGUGCUUCUCAGGACCAGAGAGAGACCCGCUGUGUGCCAAACAGACGAUACCGCACGUGGCAUUGACAGCUUUUCUCAGGGCAGAGUAGGAGAGCUAAUAAUGACUGGUCAGAUGGGAAAGCCAGAAAAGAAAGACCACAUGGAGGAAUACAAGCUGCUAAGAUGUCUAAUGUGCUUUCCUUUGGUUACUCUUCCAUUCAGAGUGAGAACUAGGUCGCUUUCUGCUGGUAUCCACCCCAUUUAGCACACUUAUAAAGCUUGGAAGGACAGCCACAGCUCUCAAAUUGCCUGCUGAGACAUGGCACGUUGAAAACAGGGCAUGACACAGUAACACGUGAUGGACAGUGGGGGAGAUGGCUUCACUGGUCUCCUAGCUCUGUUUCCUACAGCUCUAAAUCAGCGUGAGGAACUCUGGCACUGCCAGGAGGGGCACAGCAGGACUUUCUGCCCCUGGAGGCUGAAACUGCACAGCAAGAGUAGCAUGGUCCCUUCAGGCAUUCAGCUUUCAGAAAGACCAAAGGUGUGGUAUUUAUAAAGGCUCCAAAAUUGGCAGCAAGAGAAAGGCAAAUAUUCUGCUGAACUGGAGACCGCCCCAGCACAGACAGCUGCAGCCCAGCCUCUCCUCAGUCUCCCUGCCAGUUCUCUCAAGCAUGACCUGGUUUGAGGACCACCUUCAAUGAGAUCAAAAGGAGAAAAGAGGAGAUGGCAAGCAUGAGAAGAGGUGUGGAUGGAGGAAGUCAAAGCAUCAAGAAAGCUAGUCCCAUCCCUUUACAGAGAGACAUCCUGAAGGAACUCCUCCUGUAGUCAGCAUUCCUCCAGUGGCAAUUACUGAUAUCUGAGGAAACUAACCUGUGGCAUACUGUCACUGCAGCAGUAUCUUGCUGGGAGAAAAAUUUGGGUUGUCUCCUGGACUGAUCGGACUGUGGCUUCUCUGUCCUACAUAGACAAGGAUAAAGAACAGCCCCAAGGUGCUCUAGGAGAGACAGUGAGAUCUGCGGGUGGGAUAUGGAGGACUGAGGUCUCCCACCUGCUCUGCCAAGCAUGUGCUCUCCCACUUCAGGUGCACUGCGAGUUGAUUAACUGUUGCAGGAGACGAAAACUGAAGCAUUCCCACCAGCCACUGUCUGAGAAAAAGGAAGACAAGAUCUGUGCCAUACAACGAUAUUUACAAACUAAAUCACCAGAAGAACAGUUUUAUCUGUAAACGCGAGUCACCACUAGAUGUACUGUAUAGCAGCAGCUGGACCAAGUACUGUAGGGCUUAUUUGAUGAGGACUGCGCACUGCCUGAGCAGGCUCAGAAUCCCAGAGUCAUGCUCAAACUCUGGAAUUAAAGGAAUUGAAUUCAGGAAUUAAAGGAACUGAUUCACUCUGACAGGGCUGGGAAUCUGUCUUGUCGAACUUAAGAGCAGCUAGACCUGCCAGUAAAACAGCAGUACUGAAGGACGAGAUGAAUGUGCUUGUUCUAAAGACCUCCCAGCCAGAUGCUACCCCUGCUAUAUUUCAUACAGCUUUCUGCAGGCAGAGAGUUACCACUGAAACCCGAGCCAACUGAUAACAAAAGCAGUGUGGACUUUUCUGCUGGAGUUGGACCCUGCAGCACCCUGGUACACUAACCUGACAGCAUCUGGACCCAAACUCUGCUCAGGAGCAGAGAGCUUGUGUGGUGGAGGAGCAGAGAAAGCUGUGCAGAUUGCUACCAGGGCCAAUGGCAUGAAGAAAAAUUGCUGUCUAACUGAUCCUUUGUGGACUUCCGACUGAAACCACCCAGUGCAGCAUAUGAUUCCUACGUGCCUUUUUGGUCUUUUCAGCAAGCAAGCUAAUGGAAACAAUUCUGUAUCUUCAAUGCAGGAUGAUGAGAUUUCAGAGCUCCCCUGACUAGUCACAAGAGAGAAUUGAUACAGCUCUACAGCAGCCAAAUGCCAGCACAUCUCUGCAUCUCAGUUUUACCAUUAACCUCAGGUACAGCCACGAUUUAGAGUUGUCCACCUGCCUGCCUGCCUCGCUGGAGGAGGCAUCAGCCCGCUGACCCCGGGACCUGCUGAGACGAUGGUACCGAUUCAGCUAUUGACAGCUUCAGUGACUCGUCUCUUCCUCUGCCAUGGAAAUGAACCCAUGUGGUAGCAAUGAUAGGAAAUUACUCAGAGGAAAGGAAAAAAGCUCAGCGUAAGCCAGGGCAAAAAGUCUAGAAUAAACACAGCCCCGGCCUAGCACCGUACAGCUGUCAAGUCGCAUUGCACAGGAGGCUUCCUCUUGCACCAGGAACCCUGCUGGCCUAAGUGUUGUGGAAACAAAGGUAAAAUAACAAUAACUAAAACCAGUCUCUGCCUUAAGGAGCUGGCAGCACCUCCCUUAUUUCUUUCAACUGCUGUAAAUAAAUCCUUGGUCAUGGCACUGUUUUCCAGAGGACGAUAAAAGGAACUGUUGUCACCCCCUGACACCGACUUUUCCUGCCAUUCACUAAGUCUUCCCCUCCUUCUUUUAAUCUUAAUUUUGUUAAAAAUCAGAUCUCAUCUGAUGACUGCUCAUUACCUUAGAGGCUGUUGGUAGCGGGGGGACCGAAGGCUACACUCCUGCACAGGGCUGCGGGAGGAAGGUUGGCCUGGCCAGUGUCACUGCCAUAA